UUUUUUUUUGCGGCAGUCAUUUCAGUAUUCAUCAUGCCUUUCAUUACGAUGGGCCGUCUUACGAUUCUCUGAGACAAUCCAAUUAUAAGAAGAAAAACAAAUUUUUAAAAUAAAAGGGUUCGUCCCGUUACUCGUCGCAGAAAAAUCUAUGGAGAGUUCAGACAUUCAUUUAAUGAUUUAAGAAAAUCUUUGGGAAUGAAAUAUACGUAGUUUUUCCAUAGUGUUACGAGAGCACACAAUAAUAAUAUCAUGUUAUCAUAUUAUAGUUCCUAAAAUAAUUUAUAACAAUCCAUAAUUAUCGCUCCGUUGUUGUCAAGUCCGUAUGGUACCUAUCUAUACUAUAUUAAUAAUAUAUACUCGUAGAAAACGAUCUACCAUAUCACACCACUAUUCGUGACUCUUCAUGGCCGCCAAAUAUAUUUCAUGAGCGUCGAGCGUUAAAAUUCAAACGCGUUUGAUUUAUGACGUGCCGCAUCGCUGACGCUCGCCGCUCGUAGUCAAUAUACAGGCUGUACUACGAAGAUAUACCCAUUGAAUAUCUACGGGGAUAAUAAAGAUAAUCAAAUUUUGAUUUAUUUAGUUAUUUGAUUUUUACAAUUAGAAUACUGAGUUUCAUUUAGACUGUUUGUGUGAUGGCCGAAACAACAAUUGUUUAAACAUUUAAUUUUAAAAACCAUUUAAUCUAAAUUGAUAGAUGUAACUAGGAGAUUAGACUAGGAUUGGAGAAAGUAAAGGGUCGCCCAUGUAGGCUCUUUCUAGUUCCUUAACGAUAUUUAUGGGUCAGCAAUAUGUACUUUUCCCGUGGGCAGCAAUUUACCUUAACAAAACACUGUGCUAAAGACAAUACUAUUAUUAACUCCAUUAUCUUGCAGAUGUGUAUUAUGAAAGGAAAACCAGUAAAGUGCGAAUGAACACGGCUAAUUAUUUUCAUUCAGACAACUUAAUGUACCUAGAAAACGCACUGUAAAUGUAUUGGUGUCAUAUAUACCUAACUUCAUUUUUAUACCAAUUACUCAUGUAAGUACUGACAUAAGGAACCGAUUAAAAACUAUUCA